GGCGUGGUAGCUCAGCUGGUUAGAGCGCAGGAUUCAUAAUCCUGAGGUCGGGAGUUCAAGUCUCCCCCACGCUAC
rnacentral:tRNA from 1 species